rnacentral:rRNA from 1 species
CAGCACCUCAAGUGGUCAGGAUGAUUAUUGGGCCUAAAGCAUCCGUAGCCGGCGCUGUAAGUUUUCGGUUAAAUCUGUACGCUCAACGUACAGGCUGCCGGGAAUACUGCAGCGCUAGGGAGUGGGAGAGGUAGACGGUACUCGGUAGGAAGGGGUAAAAUCCUUUGAUCUAUUGAUGACCACCUAUGGCGAAGGCGGUCUACCAGAACACGUCCGACGGUGAGGGAUGAAAGCUGGGGGAGCAAACCGGAUUAGAGACCCGAGUAGUCC